ACGGGUGAGUAACGCGUGGGUAAUCUGCCCUUUGGUUGGGGAUAACAGUCCGAAAGGACUGCUAAUACCGAAUAAGUCAAUCAGCCCCGCGGGGAGGAUUGGGAAAGGCUUCGGCCGCCGAAGGAUGAGCCCGCGUACCAUUAGGUAGUUGGUGAGGUAAUGGCUCACCAAGCCAAAGAUGGUUAGCUGGUCUGAGAGGAUGAUCAGCCACACUGGGACUGAGACACGGCCCAGACUCC
rnacentral:rRNA from 1 species